UGUACAGUCUUCAAAUAGAAAAUAAGUUUAAAUUGCAAUAUAUUUGUUGGUGUCAUUACGUUCAUAAUGAUUUAUGAGAAAAUUCAACUGUUGUUCGUAAAUAUGUUUCAAUGUAAGGAAUACCCCUUAAAAAUGUAUUCAUUUGUAAUGAAGGAUCGCACAUUUUGCAAGUACAUGUUUUCCACCUUCCUUUUCCCGUAUAUUUAUAAAGAACAAAAUUAAAAUUUAUCAGUCAACUUGAGCUAUUACAAAUGAAAUACUAAAAAGUAUAAAAAAUUGAUAUGUCUGAUAUUAACGAGGAUAUCAUACGUUUUUCAUUUUUAGAAUAUCAUAAUAUUCUAAUUUUCACAAAACCAGAUAAAUUAUUCCGGAUCUUUUGCGUAGAAAUUUGAAAAAAGCCUGAGGAGGUUUGAUUUUUUUUAGAUGUGGUUUUGCUUACUCCUUGCACUAAUUUAAAAGUAUGAUCCUUGAAUUCAGUCAAAAAUAACUUCGGCACGCAAAUUUAAAGCGGUGCCGCUUUAAGAAGUUUUAAGACAAGAUUCUAGAGAUUCUUUCAUUUUUUGAAAACUUCUAAAAUAACGGUAUGCUACAAUGUGACAACACUGCGAUUUAGAGAUUUUUAUCACAUCACUUACAUAAACGUCUCAUGUGAUAAAUGUGAACAUGAGAAUUGAGAACAGUGGUCAUCAGGAGUAACUGUGAGAAUGAAGUUGGUGAUAUUACGGGAUCACCAUGCGCCGGUAAGAAUUGCAUAAUUCAAAGUGACGACAUGGUCAAAUGACAAACUGAAACAUUUUCGAACUUUUUAAGAUGGAGAACAAAAAUCAUUCAUGGAUAUUGAAUCUUGCGUAAGACAAUUGAUAGCACGACAAUCUGUCAUUUGACCAUGAUCCUCGACAUUUGUCAAAACAUGUUUUUCUUGAUAGUGGUGGUUCUGCUCAGCGCUAAAAAUGCCAUCGGUGAUGAAAUAAACAUGCGACAAACUUGGGAAAAAGCUAGGAUUAAGCCUGAUGUGACGCGAUUUUCCCCUCAAAACCCUUUGCUCGAGUAUUACUUUUUUGAUAAAGUAAAAUUUGGAAAUCAGCUAUCACCGAAUACUGUAUUUAAUAUACCAACUUUACUCGACUGGCCUUUAUUAGCCGGACAUUUCUAUACUGUAAUGAUGAUUGAUCCUGAUGCUCCUCAUCCUAAAAUCCGAUAG
rnacentral:lncRNA from 1 species